AGGAUUCCAUAAAAUUGUUGAAUUGUCACUUGCUGUGACUCAUGCACAUCAUACAACAGUACUCCAUGCUGUUGACCAGAUAUCUGAAAGUCACUGGAUUAAACAUUCUGCAAAGGAACAUGACUGUACUGAUAUUUUAGAUCCUCGUAAAAGACAUUUUUAUCAGACGUUUGUUAUGUACCACACGAUUCAAAUCCAAACAAACACGAUUUUACUGCAUGCCAAGAAAUCUGGGAGA